rnacentral:lncRNA from 1 species
CUGGUUAUGGUCGGGCGGGCAGCGCGGCGUGGCUGCUGCGUGAAGAGGUACUUCGUCGCUUUUCGGUAGAUGCCUCCAAAUGAUUUUGCUUCAGGAUCCAGCCCUUUCAAUUUGAUUCUAUUUUACGGGAGCUAUGAUUGAUUCUCGCUACAACUUCACCAUCGAUUGCUUUAUUAUGCUUGACUACCUGUGUAGAUCGAGAUCCCACAGGCUGGCAUCCAUAGCUGGAUAUGCUUCAGUAGCCCACUUCAUUGCCUCGAUGUUGCCUACCAAUGGUCGUAGCCUUAUAAGUGUUGCCUCAGAUCUUGGACUAUCUCUUCAGGAGCAAACACAUAUAACAAUAAAUCAGACGCAUGCAGGCAACACUUCACUGCACACGAUAUACUUGAUCCGGCAGCUAGUUUAUCCAUAUCGUUGAUUGAUGCGGAACAAACAUACUACUAGUCAAUUUCACAAUUCAGUUGUUGUUCUGGCCCACUAAUAAUAAUAAUAAAAGCAAUGAAAUCCUUAUCCUUCACUUGCUCCUAGUAAUUCCCAAAAGAAACCAAGCAAAGGAUUGGGAGUAAAAACUAAUUCCUUGCCCAAUACACUACUAAUUCCCUCCUUUAAAGUCAUAUCCCUCUUCCCAUUAUUGCCAAAUAGGCUAUAGAUGAGUUGCUCGGGUGGCCUGAGGCAAAACAAGAACCAUUUGUACUCCAAUUGGUUAGGAACGCGGUUUUAUUAUUCUUCAGUUUAUUAGUGCGAAGUUGGUUGCAUCAUCUGCUUAAGGAGAUAGUCAUGUGCGCCACGAAAUUAACUUCACCUAAAGACGGUAUGAGCAGGCAUACCUCCUAGUCUAGCUAGCUGGGCUAUGCAGCUAUCUGAUUGUAAUUCAGAAGUAGUGUCCUUGGUAGUUCCAAUAAAUCAGGGAUUCAGUACGAAGCUAAUUUGGAGCCAGGCGAGUUGGGAUUCAUAUCCCUUUUCGGAGGUGAGGUAGCCCUGCCAUCACUCAUAUGUCAUUGCAUAUUUAUAGAAAUCGAUCUAGCACGUCUGCUCCCUCCAUAAUUUAUUUGAAUCUGUAGCAGACUGGUUUGCUCACAACCUACUUGAUAGAAUACCUACAAGAGCCAAUUAUCCAUCUCCACAAAUAUCCCGGGGUCUUCCCAUCAAUUGCAUCUUAAUUUGACUCCCAUUUUUGCAGAUUAGUUUGUUUGCAUAUUUAUUUUUGUACUGGUAUUGAUCAAGCACGCUUUUUAUUCCGCGAAUCAGUAACAUGGUGCACACAUAUUUGUUUCUUGCGAUUGGUUACAGAAGCCUAGUUAACUAUAUUCACCUUUUAGCAGUAAUACAACUAUUUGGUUAUUUCCUACUUCCUUGCAGUGAUUAUCACUCCGACAGGUGGAUGCACACGUAUAAUGGGUGUGUCAUGGCUGUAUUUUUCCCGUGACUAUCGGAAAGUAAUCUCCUUUAUAUGACUAUAUUUUGGGGGGAAUUUGUACUUAGAUGGCUAAGCAACAAAGGCAGGAGAUUCCAGCGAUAGAUUUGAGGUCGGCGCCUCACGAAGGCAUGCUCCUUGCCGGGAGAGGCAGGGGCAUCCUUUCUUGGUCUGCAUCUUUCACCUCUGUUGCUUCAGGUGAGCCCUGAUUUCUCAUCCUAUCAUUUCUUUUUUAACCUCCUAUAACUCCAGCAAUGUACUUAUUUGUUUGAUCUAUUUGUAUUUACAAAAUAUGAUUAUGAUUCCACUAUUUGAUUAAUUCCUAGAAUUACUGAACUAUAUAUUCAUUUCUAUUUUGUGCUCAUGCCGCGCUUGUUGAAUUGCUUACUUGGAGGUUUAUUCGAUUUAUAGAUAGCGGCACAAGUGGAGCAGGAGGCUGCAAUGGAUUUUAUACUAUGGUACGUGUGCACUUCAAUCAGCGCAAACUACUCUUU